rnacentral:rRNA from 1 species
GACGAACGCUGGCGGCGUGCUUAACACAUGCAAGUCUAACGGAAAGGCCCUGCUUUUGUGGGGUGCUCGAGUGGCGAACGGGUGAGUAACACGUGAGUAACCUGCCCUUGACUUUGGGAUAACUUCAGGAAACUGGGGCUAAUACCGGAUAGGAGCUCCUGCUGCAUGGUGGGGGUUGGAAAGUUUCGGCGGUUGGGGAUGGACUCGCGGCUUAUCAGCUUGUUGGUGGGGUAGUGGCUUACCAAGGCUUUGACGGGUAGCCGGCCUGAGAGGGUGACCGGCCACAUUGGGACUGAGAUACGGCCCAGACUCCUACGGGAGGCAGCAGUGGGGAAUAUUGCACAAUGGGCGGAAGCCUGAUGCAGCAACGCCGCGUGCGGGAUGACGGCCUUCGGGUUGUAAACCGCUUUCGCCUGUGACGAAGCGUGAGUGACGGUAAUGGGUAAAGAAGCACCGGCUAACUACGUG